UAGAGAUUCAAUAACUUGCCCAAGGAAAUGCUGCUAGGACCAAAUGGACAUAUCAACAAAUCACUAUAGUGAGGUGUUUUAAAAGCAGAAUUAAAGUGUAAAGUAGAGGGAAAUUUCUCUGAUGCAGCAUUUACAUAAGAAACACAUUCAGAAAAAGAGGCUGUGAUUCUGAACGCGUCCUUAUUAUACUGCACUAAAAAUCUCCCUUGGGAUGAGGGAGGUUU
rnacentral:lncRNA from 1 species